UACGUAGGGGGCAAGCGUUGUCUGGAUUUAUUGGGCGUAAAGAGCGUGUAGGCGGCUAGGUAGGUCCGUUGUGAAAACUCGAGGCUCAACCUCGAGACGUCGAUGGAAACCAUCUAGCUAGAGUCCGGAAGAGGAGAGUGGAAUUCCUGGUGUAGCGGUGAAAUGCGCAGAUAUCAGGAAGAACACCCGUGGCGAAGGCGGCUCUCUGGUACGUGACUGACGCUGAGACGCGAAAGCGUGGGGAGCGAACAGG
rnacentral:rRNA from 1 species